rnacentral:rRNA from 1 species
AUUGAACGCUGGCGGCAUGCCUUACACAUGCAAGUCGAACGGUAACAGGUUAAGCUGACGAGUGGCGAACGGGUGAGUAAUGCAUCGGAACGUGCCCGGUCGUGGGGGAUAACGCAGCGAAAGCUGCGCUAAUACCGCAUACGAUCUAAGGAUGAAAGCGGGGGACCGUAAGGCCUCGCGCGAUCGGAGCGGCCGAUGUCAGAUUAGGUAGUUGGUGGGGUAAAGGCUCACCAAGCCAACGAUCUGUAGCUGGUCUGAGAGGACGACCAGCCACACUGGGACUGAGACACGGCCCAGACUCCUACGGGAGGCAGCAGUGGGGAAUUUUGGACAAUGGGCGAAAGCCUGAUCCAGCAAUGCCGCGUGCAGGAAGAAGGCCUUCGGGUUGUAAACUGCUUUUGUACGGAGCGAAAAGGUCUCCUCUAAUACAGGGGGCUCAUGACGGUACCGUAAGAAUAAGCACCGGCUAACUACGUGCCAGCAGCCGCCGCGG